rnacentral:sRNA from 1 species
GAAAUUCUAAAGAUGUAGUUAUUGAGUAACAACCUUUCACUAAAAGUAUUUUCAACGAGAAUGUGAUGUAGAAGAUGGUUUGAAAGUUAGGUUAAAAUUAAUUGGAAGAUUAGUUGGGAGAAAGUGAACAAAUGUAUAAUAUAUAUACACAUAUGCUUCCAUGCUAAGUUAAUUUCAUGAGCUGUGUCCUAUAAAUUUCCAAGGAACUCAAACUUCGUAUAUAUCUUUUUCCUUCUUUUUCUUUUUUCAGGAACUCACAUAUUCUCAAAAGACAAAAAUCGUUGCUUAAAAUGGGACCAGGCGGCCCAGGCCCAGGCGGCCCGCCAGGUUGGGGUUCACCCGGCCCACCGGGGCCGGGAUUUUUCGGUGGGUUUUGCGAUCUCGUUAACUCUUGUUUGAGCUUUUUGUGCUGCUGCUGGUUACUACAGGACUGCUUUGGGGGUCCAUCUGGCCCACCUGGAGGCCCAUUCCGCCCACCUGGGCCUCCAUGAGUUUCCAAGUUGCCAUGGUUUCCAAUGUUAUAUAUAUGAAGUUCUAUAUGUUAGGUAAUUAAUUAUCAAUCAGAACUCUGCUAAUCUCUGUUUGAUGUAAUAAUACAUUCCUGGCACGGUCGAAGGUUGAAGA